rnacentral:lncRNA from 1 species
AGUUUCCGCCGCGUUUAUGGCCGCGUUAAGUCUGAGUGCCGCUUUGAGUUGUUGAAUGAAGUGAACUUCAUUUGUCAGCGUUCGGUUCAUGAACUGGAAUGUAAGAGGCACCAGAGGAUUCCUGCUCUGUCCCCUGGUUUGCGGCUUGCGACGUUGGACAUCCCCGGAUUGUUGUUUAAUAGAGAAAACUCACCUGCCUUCUUGCUUUUAAGUAGCCCCAAAAGCAGAACCUUGAUUUGUCUGUAAGGAAGAAACACAAACCUUUUAAAAAGUUCCACUUCGACUCUGCACCGCCGACCCCCAAUCUCUUUAAUUUUGCCAUAGAAGAGGGGUUUUUUCAACAUCUCUCUCACUAUCUGGUGCUGAUCUCACUGCAUAAUGACUUUCUAUUUGUUUGGUAUUCGAAGCUUUCCGAAGCUUUGGAAGAGCCCAUACCUUGGGCUAGGCCCAGGGCACUCUUAUGUCUCGCUGUUUCUGGCAGACCGCUGUGGCAUCAGGAACCAGCAGAGGUUGUUUUCUCUUAAAACAAUGUCUCCACAGAAUACCAAAGCAACGAAUCUGAUUGCCAAGGCCAGAUAUCUCAGGAAAGAUGAGGGCAGUAAUAAGCAAGUUUAUUCUGUUCCUCAUUUUUUUUUAGCUGGAGCAGCUAAGGAGAGAUCACAGAUGAAUUCUCAAACUGAAGAUCAUGCCUUGGCACCUGUGAGGAACACUAUUCAACUCCCAACACAACCUUUGAAUUCAGAGGAGUGGGAUAAACUUAAGGAAGAUUUAAAAGAAAACACCGGAAAGACCAGUUUCGAAAGUUGGAUCAUUUCACAGAUGGCUGGCUGUCAUAGCUCUAUAGAUGUGGCUAAAUCUCUGCUGGCAUGGGUAGCAGCCAAAAAUAAUGGUAUUGUAAGUUACGAUUUACUGGUCAAGUAUUUGUAUCUCUGUGUCUUUCAUAUGCAGACAUCUGAAGUUAUUGAUGUCUUUGAAAUUAUGAAAGCCAGAUAUAAGACUUUAGAACCUAGAGGUUACAGUCUUCUCAUCCGGGGAUUGAUCCAUUCAGACAGAUGGAGAGAAGCAUUGUUGCUGUUAGAGGACAUCAAAAAAGUUAUAACUCCUUCAAAAAAGAACUAUAAUGACUGUAUCCAGGGAGCUCUCCUUCAUCAAGAUGUAAACACAGCUUGGAAUUUAUAUCAGGAAUUGCUAGGUCAUGAUAUUGUUCCUAUGUUGGAAACUUUAAAAGCUUUCUUUGAUUUUGGAAAAGACAUAAAGGAUGAUAACUAUUCAAAUAAACUACUAGAUAUUCUUUCAUAUCUAAGAAAUAAUCAGCUGUAUCCAGGGGAGUCAUUUGCACACAGUAUAAAAACAUGGUUUGAGAGUGGCCAGUGUUCGGGCUGUGGAAAAACCAUAGAGUCUAUUCAGCUGAGUCCAGAAGAAUAUGAAUGUCUUAAGGGAAAAAUCAUGAGGGAUGUGAUAGAUGGAGGUGACCAGUACAGAAAGACAACACCUCAGGAACUUAAGAGAUUUGAGAACUUCAUAAAAUCUCGUCCUCCUUUUGAUGUUGUCAUUGAUGGUCUCAAUGUUGCCAAAAUGUUUCCUAAAGUUCGUGAAUCUCAACUUCUCUUGAAUGUCGUCUCUCAACUAGCCAAACGGAAUCUGCGACUGCUGGUCCUAGGCCGGAAGCACAUGCUAAGACGGAGUUCCCAGUGGAGUCGGGAUGAGAUGGAAGAGGUGCAAAAGCAAGCCAGCUGUUUUUUUGCUGAUGACAUCUCGGAGGAUGAUCCAUUCCUUCUGUAUGCCACACUGCACUCCGGGAAUCACUGCAGGUUUAUCACAAGAGACCUGAUGCGGGACCACAAGGCCUGUCUGCCUGAUGCCAAGACCCAACGCCUGUUUUUUAAGUGGCAGCAGGGACAUCAGCUGGCAAUUGUAAAUAGGUUUCCAGGAUCAAAACUAACCUUUCAGCGUAUUCUCAGCUAUGACACAGUGGUGCAAACAACUGGAGACUCGUGGCACAUACCAUAUGAUGAAGACUUGGUAGAAAGAUGUUCCUGUGAAGUACCAACCAAAUGGCUUUGCCUCCACCAAAAGACAUAGAGAUUCUUACCUCUAUGCUAAGUUUGUGUUUGGGUACCCUCUAGGUUGGCAUCAGAGGCUCUUGAGCUGGUGUUUGUUUAGGGCAUUGCCUCUGUCCUGAAGAUAAAAGGAUUCUAUUAACAGCAUUGACAUUGAUUUUUUAAUGAAAUGAGAUAUAUCUUUUCAUAACCAGCUGCGUUUUUUUCCCCUAACAUUUGUUUUUGGAGGCUUAUCAAGAGUUGGAGAACUUAGUGUAGAGCAAAACCUGCAUUUCUCCUACUGGGCCAGCUAUUCCACUUAGCUUGGGUGACUAAUAGUGCUUUUGGUAUCCAUUUUUUGCUACUUCUGACCUUGCCUUCCAGGCCUACCAAUAGCAGAAUCAAUCCAUCUGUCCCUGAGAUACUCAUGUUGUUUCAAAUGCCUCCUCCCAUUUCUGGCAUAGUCUCAUUCUCUGUAUGUUAUGCCCUAUCCACAUGGAAUCAUUUAUCGUCCUCUGUAAUAAACUGGCCAAGAUACUAAAGGCUUACUAUUCAUAGCAGUUUUUAAUUACUUAUCAUCCAAUUAUUUGGAUUGGAGAAGAGGGGGCAUUCACUCCUCUUUUUCUUAUUUUUUUUGGAAAUAGAGUCUCAACUUACUCUGUCGCCAGGGCUGGAGUGCAGUGACGUGAUCACAGUUCACUGCAGCCUCAAACUCCCAGGCUCAAGCAAUCUUCCUACCUCAGCCCUCCUGAGUAAUUGGGACUACAGAACAGAGAAUGUCAGUAUCCAAUAGGAUGCCAGUGGAAUUCCCUGACGAUUCCAUCCAUGCGGCUCUGCUGGAGCAGGGUAGUGUCCUAGGCUGGGAGAAUGGGAUGGAGCCUCCACCUCAUGAAGUAGCUUCCUUUGGAGGUGGCUAUGGCAGGUCUUCGGAGAGAAUAUGCUUUUAAGGCUAUUAACCAGGGUGGCCUUACAUCAGUAGCUGUCAGAGGGAAAGACUGUGCAGUAAUUGUCACACAGAAGAAAGUACCUGACAAAUUAUUGGAUUCCAGCACAGUGACUCACUUAUUCAAGAUAACUGAAAACAUUGGUUGUGUGAUGACCGGAAUGACAGCUGACAGCAGAUCCCAGGUACAGAGGGCACGCUAUGAGGCAGCUAACUGGAAAUACAAGUAUGGCUAUGAGAUUCCUGUGGACAUGCUGUGUAAAAGAAUUGCCGAUAUUUCUCAGGUCUACACACAGAAUGCUGAAAUGAGGCCUCUUGGUUGUUGUAUGAUUUUAAUUGGUAUAGAUGAAGAGCAAGGCCCUCAGGUAUAUAAGUGUGAUCCUGCAGGUUACUACUGUGGGUUUAAAGCCACUGCAGCGGGAGUUAAACAAACUGAGUCAACCAGCUUCCUUGAAAAAAAAGUGAAGAAGAAAUUUGAUUGGACAUUUGAACAGACAGUGGAAACUGCAAUUACAUGCCUGUCUACUGUUCUAUCAAUUGAUUUCAAACCUUCAGAAAUAGAAGUUGGAGUAGUGACAGUUGAAAAUCCUAAAUUCAGGAUUCUUACAGAAGCAGAGAUUGAUGCUCACCUUGUUGCUCUAGCAGAGAGAGACUAAACAUUGUCGUUAGUUUACCAGAUCCGUGAUGCCACUUACCUGUGUGUUUGGUAACAACAAACCAACAUCAUGGAGGUCCCUGGAUUGAAAAAGGAGCCUCUCCCACUCCUCCUACCACCGAAGUGGUUAGGACUCUAUAUAAAUAAAAACAAGGCUUUUGGAAAA